GUGGGGAAUAUUGGACAAUGGGCGCAAGCCUGAUCCAGCAAUGCCGCGUGCAGGAAGAAGGCCUUCGGGUUGUAAACUGCUUUUGUACGGAACGAAAAGGCUCUGGCUAAUACCUGGAGCUCAUGACGGUACCGUAAGAAUAAGCACCGGCUAACUACGUGCCAGCAGCCGCGGUAAUACGUAGGGUGCGAGCGUUCAUCGGAAUUACUGGGCGUAAAGCGUGCGCAGGCGGUGCUGUAAGACAGGCGUGAAAUCCCCGGGCUAAACCUGGGAAUUGCGCUUGUGACUGCAGCGCUGGAGUGCGGCAGAGGGGGAUGGAAUUCCGCGUGUAGCAGUGAAAUGCGUAGAUAUGCGGAGGAACACCGAUGGCGAAGGCAAUCCCCUGGGCCUGCACUGACGCUCAUGCACGAAAGCGUGGGGAGCAAACAGGAUUAGAAACCCUGGUAGUCC
rnacentral:rRNA from 1 species